AUCUAAAUAGUUUAUUAUAAAAUAAUAAUUUGUGGUGUUAUGGAUGUGCUUUUGCACUUUAGGUU
rnacentral:tRNA from 1 species